AUACAGAGGGUGCAAGCGUUAAUCGGAUUUACUGGGCGUAAAGCGCGCGUAGGUGGUUAGAUCAGUCGGAUGUGAAAGCCCCGGGCUCAACCUGGGAAUUGCAUUCGAUACUGUCUUGACUAGAGUUUAGUAGAGGAAGGUGGAAUUCCAGGUGUAGCGGUGAAAUGCGUAGAGAUCGGAAGGAACAUCAGUGGCGAAGGCGGCUCUCUGGACCAAAACUGACGCUGAGGUGCGAAAGCGUGGGUAGCAAACAGGAUUAGAUACCCCAGUAGUCC
rnacentral:rRNA from 1 species